GGAGCAGUCGUCCAGUGGUCCAGGACACCGGUCUGGAAAGCCGGGGGGCUCGCGCCUCCGGGGGUUCGAAUCCCCCCUGCUCCG
rnacentral:tRNA from 1 species